rnacentral:lncRNA from 1 species
AAAAAUCAAUCUACAAUCUCUAUUUGUUUCUUUGUGUUAUUGUGUGAUCUUUGAAAAUGGCGAAUUACCAGAACCAAUAUGGUGCAACGGCCCAAUCUACAAAUGAUUACGGGAACCCACUCACCAACUACACCGGAUCAGAGCCCCAAUCUACAAAUGAGUACGGGGCUACAGAUGAGUAUGGGAACCCAGUCACCACCUACACCAGAUCAGAGCCCCACUAUACAGAUGAGUAUGGGAACCCAGUACGCGAAAGGGGGAUGAUGGACAAGAUCAAGGAGAAGCUCCCAGGUACUCAUGACCCCUACUCAUCUCAUUCUCAGACAACCUACCCCACUGCACGUUACGGUGAAACCGGCUACACUGGAUUGGAGCAGCACCAUGGGAUGAUGAACAAGAUGCCAGGUACUGACCCCUACUCAUCUCAUUCUCAUACAACCGGCACCACUGCACCUUACGAUGGAACCGGCUACACCGGAACAGAGUACCGCCAGCACAAGGGCACGAUGGACAGGAUCAAGGAUAAGCUGACUGGGACUGGUGGACAUAGGGUGGAUGAUCCCUACUCAUCUCAUUCUCAUAAAACCGCCACCACCACACCUUACGGUGGCACCACCACCACAGCUUACGGUGACAGCACCACCACACCUUCACCUUACGGUGGCACCACCACCACACAUUCACCUUACGGUGGCACCACCACCACAGCUUACGGUGACACCACCACCACACCUUCAGCUUACGGUGGCACCACCACCACACCUUCAGCUUACGGUGGCACCGCCACCACCACCUACCCCCGUGAAAAGAAGGGCAUCAUGGACAAGAUCAAAGAGAAACUUCCUGGUGGACAUCAUUAUUAAUAAUAGGGUUAUGUAAGAGAUAGAUACGUUAGGUAUCGUUUUGUGUUCAAUGUUUUAGUAUGACGUGUAUAAUAAGCGGUG